CGGGGGGGCAGCUUACCAUGCAAGUCGAGCGGUAACAGAGAGUAGCUUGCUACUUUGCUGACGAGCGGCGGACGGGUGAGUAAUGCUUGGGAAUAUGCCUUAUGGUGGGGGACAACAGUUGGAAACGACUGCUAAUACCGCAUAACGUCUACGGACCAAAGGGGGGGAUCUUCGGACCUCUCGCCAUUUGAUUAGCCCAAGUGAGAUUAGCUAGUUGGUAAGGUAAAGGCUUACCAAGGCGACGAUCUCUAGCUGGUUUGAGAGGAUGAUCAGCCACACUGGGACUGAGACACGGCCCAGACUCCUACGGGAGGCAGCAGUGGGGAAUAUUGCACAAUGGGCGAAAGCCUGAUGCAGCCAUGCCACGUGUGUGAAGAAGGCCUUCGGGUUGUAAAGCACUUUCAGUUGUGAGGAAAGGGGUGUAGUUAAUAGCUGCAUCCUGUGACGUUAGCAACAGAAGAAGCACCGGCUAACUUCGUGCCAGCAGCCGCGGUAAC
rnacentral:rRNA from 1 species